rnacentral:rRNA from 1 species
UACGGAGGGUGCAAGCGUUACUCGGAAUCACUGGGCGUAAAGAGCGCGUAGGCGGUGUUUUAAGUGAGAUGUGCAAUCCCCGAGCUUAACUUGGGAACUGCAUCUCAUACUGGAACGCUAGAGUACCGGAGAGGGUGGUAGAAUUCCACGUGUAGCGGUGAAAUGCGUAGAGAUGUGGAGGAAUACCAGUGGCGAAGGCGGCCACCUGGACGGUAACUGACGCUGAGGUGCGAAAGUGUGGGUAGCAAACAGG